UACGUAGGGUGCGAGCGUUAAUCGGAAUUACUGGGCGUAAAGCGUGCGCAGGCGGUUUUGUAAGCCGGAUGUGAAAUCCCCGGGCUUAACCUGGGAAUGGCAUUCGGGACUGCAAGGCUGGAGUGCGGCAGAGGAGACUGGAAUUCCAGGUGUAGCGGUGAAAUGCGUAGAUAUCUGGAGGAACACCGGUGGCGAAGGCGGCAUCCUGGACCGGCAUUGACGCUGAGGCGCGAAAGCCAGGGGAGCAAACGGG
rnacentral:rRNA from 1 species